UUUAGAUUGAUAUAAACAAACAACGGACAGGUGUGGGAAUAGCGGAAGAGUGUUCCAGGUCUGAAGCCCAGUGGCGGCCCAGCAGGUUUUGUGGCAGCGAGAGGAGCAGCAUGGAGAGGCUAUUUUUACCUGAAGCCCAGGAGUGAGCUGCACACAGAAGGAGACGUGCUUGCAUCAGCAUGCUGAGCCCACAGCAUCCUGUCUCACCUGGGAGUGGUGUUGGAGCACUGAGGUGUGCUAAGAUACUACACGCUCCGGGGCGCCCGUGACCUUUGAGG